ACCACACUGAUAUCUAACCUAAUAUAUGAUAACAAUAUUUUUGCAAUAUUUUAUAAUAUAUUGUUAUCAUAUAUUAGGUUAGAUAUCAGUGUGGU